rnacentral:rRNA from 1 species
CAAUAGCGUAUAUUUAAGUUGUUGCAGUUAAAAAGCUCGUAGUUGGAUUUCGGAUGGGAUUUGCCGGUCCGUCGUUACGAUGUGCACUGGCCAGUCCUAUCUUGUUGUCGGGGACUAGCUCCUUGGAUUCACUUCCUGGGACUAGGAGCUGACGAGGUUACUUUGAGUAAAUUAGAGCGUUCAAAGCAAGCCUACGCUCUGAAUACAUUAGCAUGGAAUAACACGAUAGGACUCUGGCUUAUCUUGUUGGUCUGUGAGACCAGAGUAAUGAUUAAGAGGGACAGUCGGGGACAUUCGUAUUUCAUUGUCAGAGGUGAAAUUCUUGGAUUUAUGAAAGACGAACUUCUGCGAAAGCAUUUGUCAAGGAUGUUUUCAUUAA